GCUAACAUGGCUCACUUGGUCGAGCAUGAGACUCUUAAUCUCAGGGUUGUGGGUUUCAUUCCCACGUUGGGCA